GAGUAUGUCCCUUUCUAGUUCUCCAUCCACAGUGGAGACAUGGAAAAGAUGCUUCCGGAUGCUCAGCACGAAUCAGAACAGAGCAGCUCAAGAGGCGGCUCUCACAGCAACAGCCCAUCACCACAAAAAGAUUGGCGGAUGUUUGAUGUCGAGAUGCACACCAGCAGGGACCAAAGCUCUCAGUCAGGAGAAGUUGUAGAAGAGAAAGAAGUUGAAGCGUUGGAAUACAGAGUGUGUGUCAGGCUGGUCUGAUAGACUGGGAACCUACCCAACGAGUUCCAUUUCCAACCCCUUGAUUGUGGCAGUGUCUCCAAGCACGAGGAGAGUAGGACCACAAAGAAAGGAGGUAUUUUCUCUGCAGAGUCUCCAGAGCCAUUCAUCUAUCUGUCUUCUUCUCUUACGUGCUGGUUUUGGG
rnacentral:lncRNA from 1 species